CCAAAGUUCGGCCCGGCCGAACUUAACGCUUUUUCACUUGUUAUACCCUCCACCAUAGUAUGGAGGGUAUAUUAAUUUUGUCAUUCCGUUUGUAACACAUCGAAAUACUCAUUUCCGACCCUAUAAAGUAUAUAUAUUCUUGAUCAGGGUAAAAUUCUAAGACGAUCUAGCCAUGUCCGUCCGUCCGUCUGUCCGUCCCCAUGUCCGUCCGUCUGUUGUAAUCACGCUAUCUUUCGAAGGAAUUGAGAUAG